rnacentral:tRNA from 1 species
GUGGCUGUGGCUCAGUGGUAGAGUGCUUGCCUAGCAUGUGUGAGGCACUGGGUUCAAUUCUCAGUGCCACA